rnacentral:lncRNA from 1 species
UCCAUCUGGUGAAUGGAGAGCUUAGCACGAGAUGGAUUUCUUUUUUAGUUAUAUAUAAUAGAUAAUUGAUAAGUAAACCAAAAGAUUGAUAGAAUUUUGACCUGUAAAAGUAAAUCAGAAACUCAUUCCUUCUGGAGUACAUGCCUCUACAAGUAAAACCCCACUUGUGGGCAUGCUAGUUUAUCACAAAAUGAAAAAGAACCAGCAAUAUCGUGGAGUGGGCACCUUGCUGAAAUUUACAUGACAGAGCAUGCAAAUGGAAGGGUUUCAUGUCAUAAAACAAUGUUUGAACAGUCUCUGCAUUACUCAAUUUGCCAUCUUUUAAAAUAGCAUCACUUAAACAUCAGAACUACAAUUAUGCAUAUCGCCUUGGUGUCAGGAUGAGCAUGAACACUGAAGUAGCUCAACCCCAUCUCAAAGGAGCAUCAAAUAUGGAUUGGAAACCAUUUUGCAGACAGCACACAAAAAUACAGAGAACUCUAAGAAGAGAGAGAGUUAUCAUCAAAGGCACCAGGAUCUGCUGGAAAAGAUAUGCAUGAACACCUGAAAAUUGAUAAUUUAUCACUGAUUCAACCUCCCACUCUUCCGAGCCAGCUGAUCGAUCUGCAGGCAGCCACUUCAGUAUGUUGACGGUGAUGGGAACCCAAGCUUUCAUCUACCCACCACAAAAGAAGCUCUUAUUUUCUGUACGAGGAAGUUCCCCAGCUAGCUCAUAUUCGGCUUCUCACACCUUAAGGUCUAGAUGGACAAUGGAUGAAAAGCAGCACUCCCCAUUUUUUCCUCAAGAAUAUUUACAGUCAUUAACCCUGAGCCAGUGACCUAAAUACAAAAUGCUUUGUGAACCCAGCAAGCUCAUGAGAGAGAUGAACUCUCUCUCUCUC